GUUAGGAAUAUUGGACAAUGGGCGAAAGCCUGAUCCAGCCAUGCCGCGUGAACGAUGAAGGCCUUCGGGUUGUAAAGUUCUUUAGCCGAUGAUUAUAAUGACUGUAGUCGGAAAAUAAGCCCCGGCUAACUUCGUGCCAGCAGCCGCGGUAAUACGAAGGGGGCGAGCGUUAUUCGGAAUCACUGGGCGUAAAGCGUGCGUAGGCGGUUUUGUAAGUUAGGAGUGAAAGCCCAGGGCUCAACCUUGGAAUUGCUCUUAAAACUGCAAGGCUCGAAUCUCGGAGAGGAUAGCGGAAUUUCCAGUGUAGCAGUGAAAUGCGUAGAUAUUGGAAGGAACACCAGUGGCGUAAGCGGCUAUCUGGACGAAUAUUGACGCUGAGGCACGAAAGCGUGGGGAUCAAACAGGAUUAGAAACCCUUGUAGUCC
rnacentral:rRNA from 1 species